AUCAGCAGCAUCCUGCUCAGGUUCACCCUCCCCAGUCUUCUCAAGCCCAACCGCAGCCGUUUGUGCAUCAACCUCAUUCACAACUUCAACCACAGAUAAGUGUUCAACAUCAUCAACCAUCUCAUGGCCAAUUGCGCCCCCCUCAGGCUGGCCAACCUGCUCACAUCAGUCUUCUCAAGCCCAACCGCAGCCGUUUGUGCAUCAACCUCAUUCACAACUUCAAUCGCAGAUAAAUGUUCAACAUCAUCAACAAUCUCAUGGCCAAUUGCGCCCCCCUCAGGCUGGCCAACCUGUUCAUGGACAGACCCCAACCCUCCAUUCAACAGCCAAUGCAGUUUCAGGGUACAAUUCUUAUCCACAACCCCAGCCCAUGCAGCAAAUGCCUAUAGGGUUUACACAGCAAACUCCAAUACGUCCACAUCCUACUAGC
rnacentral:lncRNA from 1 species